CACACCUCAAGCAUCGCUUGGUGUUGGGCCUUCGUCCGCUCGGACGUGCCCGAAACUCCUCGGCGGCGGAGCCUUGCUUCAAGCGUGGUAAAAGAAAUCUUCUCUCGCUUUGGAAGUGGAGGCCUCGCCCGCCGGACGAACCCCAAUCUUCUUCAA
rnacentral:misc_RNA from 1 species